GAGAGAUUCCGUGUAACAUUUUUCGUGAUUGGCAACAGCUGUUUUGUAAUGGCCGCCGUGUGUAAGAAGUCAACAAUCAGACGGGAAUAGUUGAACGAGACGAAUUUAGGAGUUAAAUACCUCUGGGAAUGCAGAAUUUUGUUUUAAAAUGGACUGCAAAUUAUUAGAACGGUACCAGCGUGAUAAACACUUGAUGGCGAUCAAUACAAGUUGGUAAUUCUGAGGAACUUGAUUGCAGUAUGGUGAAUGUGUAUUGGCUCCCCUUUGGAUGGCACCAAUAAAUACCUAAUCACCUGAGUUUGUGCCGAAAACUUCUUGCAAGGGCUAGGCUAUGAUAGACAGGAAAUUACGGAAACAGCUGGGAGGCAUGUGAAACUGGUUAUUAAAGCCCACAAAUUUCACCACCAGAUAUUUCCACAACACUCAAAAUUGGACCUCCACCACCAGAAUUAAACAGCUGUCAUGUUGAAUCAGAUGAACUCUUAUUCAAUAGGAUAUCCUCCGUCAGAUUCAACUCAACAUCAAAAGAUUUAAAGAUACAAGAAGACUGGAUCUUUUCCUCUUGGGAUUUGACUUACCUUUCACGCACCUGUAUCAAGCCAGCAAGUCGACCGUCAGUCCAUAAUAACUUGGGUGAAAGCCGAACUGAAAACUGUUGCACUUCACAGUUAUUUGACACAGAUUUUCUUUGAUUUUGACUCUUGAUCCUUCCACUGUACGAAAUAUUGGAUUCAGUCGAACCUGAAUAAUAAAACACAAAUUUUAAAAGAAAA